ensembl:lncRNA
CUGUUUUAAAAUCUUAGCCCACUGAAAGGCUCAGCUCUAAUUCCAUUACUUCAUCUCUGACUUAGAUUAUUGCACUUACCACUCUGCUCUCCAUUCUCCAGAAGUAUCAAGAAAUUGUUCUGUGACAUCAGGGUGUCACCUAGGCAUGGCCGACGGUCACCCAGACAGGUUUGUGCAGUAUUAUAUCACCUUAGGCAAUGUCACCAUCCAGAUUUUACCGUUAGCCUUCUAGGUUUAGAAAUCUGAUGGAUUAACCCAUCAGAUUAAGAGACUAAAAUGAGUUUACCCCUCACUGGAAUGUCUGUAUCAAGUGAGUGAGACUGACACAUGAACUCAAAACACUUAAUUUACAGUGUGAAAUGUAAGUCCUAAGAGGAAAGACAACUGCUUACAAGCUGCUGCUGCUGCUGCUGCUAAGUCACUUCAGUCGUGUCAGACUCUGAUCCCAUAGAUAGCAGCCCACCAGGCUCCUCUGUCCCUGCGAUUCUCCAGGCAAGAAUACUGGAGUGGGUUGCCAUUUCCUUCUCCCGUGAGGGUAAAGAAACAUAUGAAAACACACAGAGAUUGGAUCACCUCUCCUGUUCACAGACCUUCCACAGUUGUUUGUUGCCUAAAUAACAAGAAUUCUCCUUCACUUCCUAAUCUGGAUCUGGCGACCUGGAUCUUUCAGGAACAAUGUAUGCAUGCUUCUGCCUUCGUGCCUCCCUUCAUUGCUGCUUCUCUUUGUCUCCCUGCCUGUUAGAAUCCUACGCAGCCUUCAGGGCACAGGAGAAAAUUAUGUUUGAAGUGAGACCUGGCAGAUGGAAAGUGUGUGCGUGACUGCUUAAGUCACUUCAGUCGUGUCCGACUCAGCUGGAGUGAGCUGCCAGGCCCGCCUCCAGGGACUCUUCCGGACCCAGGGAUUGAACCCGCAUCUUUUAUGUCUCCUGCAUUGGCAGGUGGGUUCUUUACCACUAGCGCCACCUGGGAAGCUUGGCAGACGGAUAGGCACGAGGCAAUCAGGUAGAAAAGAGCAAGGACCUGUGGGUUAAAGCGCCACCAAGGGAGCUAGUGUCCACAUGCAGACUGCAAGGCCAGAGGGGCUGAAGGUGAGAUGGGGGAGGAAGAGGACUGUGCAGAGAAGGCUCCUGAGGGAAGAGUGGGGAGAACCCGAGUUCCCUGGGAAGCGGACCACGGUGGAGGUUGGCAGGCAGGCCAUGAACCAGGGGGUGCUCUUGUCCCCAACGCCUGAAGGAGGCGGGGGAGAAGGCAGGGUUGGGCAGAGGGAGAUGCAGGCCUUGCCAUCUCCAUGGGGACCUAUGAGGCUCCUCCGGAGAGGAACCCAGGUCUUCUUCGGCCUGUCACCAGAAAUGGGCUCCCCAGGAAGGGGGCCUGCCUUGGGCCAGCAUUCACCUCAGCAGAGAACAUUCUUUGACUUCAGUUUCUUUGCAGAACAAGAGUCGAGGUCUUCUGAGAGAGAAAAGGAGGAAUGGUUGCAGUGGGAAGCACCAUCAGAGAUCUUAGGAGAAUAAAGGAUUUCUGAAACAAUCCUUGAGAAGACUGGGGAAGGGAUUUGAUCAGGGGCACCCAGGGGAACUGCCAGGCAGCUUCAAGGACUUAUUUUAGGUUGGCAGGAAUAUGGAGUUAGCUCUUGUCCAGUGCCAACUGGCUAAGGCUGGAUGGGACCACUGACCCUAAAACUGGGCCUGUGUAGGUGCCUGAUGAAUGACAUCAGAGGAUUGGGAAACUCCAUCCUAAGAUCCUGCUAAGUGCCUUCAUUUUUGGAUGUGCAGAACUCCAAGAGGCUGCCUGCAUUUCUUGGUGCACAGCCCCUUCUUCGAUCUUCAAAACCAGGAGUGAUUGGUGGAAUUGUCAUCUUGCUACAUCC